UUCGCCCUUUUCCGGUUGAUCCUGCCGGAGGUUACUGCUAUCGGUGUUCGACUAAGCCAUGCGAGUCAAAUGUUCUUCGUGAACAUGGCGGACUGCUCAGUAACACGUGGAUAACCUGCCCUUAGGUUCGGCAUAACUCCGGGAAACUGGAGAUAAUUCCGAAUAGGUCAAAUAUGCUGGAAUGCUUUUUGGCCAAAAGACCUCGGUUGCCUAAGGAUGGAUCUGCGGUCUAUCAGGUUGUAGUGGGUGUAACGUACCUACUAGCCUACGACGGAUAUGGGUUGUGAGAGCCAGAGCCCAGAGAUGGAUUCUGAGACAUGAAUCCAGGCCCUACGGGGCGCAGCAGGCGCGAAAACUUUACAAUGCGGGAAACCGCGAUAAGGGGACACCGAGUGCCAGCAUUUAUGUUGGCUGUCCACAUGUGUAAACGGCAUGUGUUAGCAAGGGCCGGGCAAGACCGGUGCCAGCCGCCGCGGUAACACCGGCGGCCCGAGUGGUAAUCACUUUUAUUGGGUCUAAAGGGUCCGUAGCCGGUUUGAUCAGUUCUUCGGGAAAUCUGACAGCUCAACUGUU
rnacentral:rRNA from 1 species